rnacentral:tRNA from 1 species
GCCCCUGUAGCUCAGAGGUAGAGCGACUGCCUUGUAAGCAGUAGGCCACGAGUUCAAAUCUCGUCGGGGGCU